GAAAAAGUGAAGAAAUCAAGGAAACAAGCUAGGUGGUGAGACGUCCGGAAAAGGCAAAGGAAUUGCGCCUGAGGGCUAUUAGUCUGAGUGCACCCGGAAUCUGGAUUUUCGAUACCGGAGUGCACAUAAGCCGUUGCUGACCCGGCUAUGUGUGAGUGGGAGUGCACAUAAGCCGUUGUUGCCUCCAUAGCUUAUAGGGCUGGAUGCUUCGUGAUCUUCCACCCUAUGAGUGCUUUGAUAGGUAUGAUCUGUGGCGAAGUAUGACUCUCCACCCAAGAGCUUGGAGGAGGAGGGAAGGGACUGCUCCGUUGCUUCGUGAUCCGGAGUGAAGUGCACCUCUUGCCGAGUGAAGGGGGGGAUGCUUCGUGAUCUCCCACCCCCUAGUGACAAUAGCAUAAGCCGUUGCAUAUGAGAUGAUGAUGAUGGGAUGAUGUGCAUGAUGAUGAUGAUGGGAUGGUGUGCAUGUUG